UACGUAGGGUGCAAGCGUUGUCCGGAAUUAUUGGGCGUAAAGAGCUCGUAGGCGGUUUGUUGCGUCGGCUGUGAAAACCCGGGGCUCAACCCCGGGCCUGCAGCCGAUACGGGCAGACUAGAGUUCGGCAGGGGAGACUGGAAUUCCUGGUGUAGCGGUGAAAUGCGCAGAUAUCAGGAGGAACACCGGUGGCGAAGGCGGGUCUCUGGGUCGUACCUGACGCUGAGGCGCGAAAGCGUGGGGAGCGAACGGG
rnacentral:rRNA from 1 species